UUUUGUAUGCCUUAUCUGGAAU
rnacentral:miRNA from 1 species